AAAUGAAUAGACGGGGGCCCGCACAAGCGGUGGAGCAUGUGGUUUAAUACGUCACUAACCGUAGAACCUUACCCAGGCUUGACAUCUGGUGUAAGUCCAUGAAAGUGGUACCCCUAUGCAGCAAUGCAUAGCACCAAGACAGGUGUUGCAUGGCUGUCGUCAGCUCGUGUCGUGAGAUGUUGGGUUAAGUCCCGCAACGAGCGCAACCCUCAUCCGAUGUUGCCAGCGAGUAAAGUCGGGAACUCUUCGGAAACUGCCCGUGUAAGCGGGAGGAAGGUGGGGAUGACGUCAAGUCAGCAUGGCCCUUACGCCUGGGGCUACACACAUGCUACAAUGGACGUUAACAAAGGGCAGCAAGACCGCGAGGUGGAGCUAAUCUCAAAAAUACGUCCUCAGUUCGGAUCGCAGUCUGCAACUCGACUGCGUGAAGUCGGAAUCGCUAGUAACCGCAGGUCAGCUAAACUGCGGUGAAUACGUUCCCGGGCCUUGUACACACCGCCCGU
rnacentral:rRNA from 1 species